UAAGAAGACCCUUGCAGCCUUUCUUUUUUUUCUCAUCUUGAGUGGAGGUGACGAGGCCAUUAUAGUUUCCACGCUUCUUGAGAGAGAGAGAAAAAUAUUAAGUGAAUACGUGUUAACUCUAAACGCGAUAAACAAAAUAUUAAUGUCGUAAAGCGAAUACGUGUUAGGAUUAAAGAAGCGCAAAUAGACACCAAAUCUUAAGUGAUGUGUGCCGAUCUGAUUGAAAAAUAAAAUAGGAGAUAAGGUACUUGUUCGAAGGUACGUUAAGGCCACGAUUUAUUGGAGCUCCUAAAAUCAUCGAAGAAGCGAGAACAAUAACAUUAUCUCUUUGUGCUACCUGAGUUACUCAUUUAAGGAGCACAUCAAAUUUCGGGACGAAAUUUUUUUAAGGUGGGUGGAAUGUAACAUCCCGACUUUUCCUAUUUUAUUUUUGACCUCGAAAGGAUAUCGAAUGGGUAGCCGGUUGAAAGAAUAGAAUGUGCACAAUCGAUCCAGAGGAAUCUUAAUUUAUGCAUCAAAAUUUUACUUGUCAAAUUUUAUGAAAAUAAUUUAAACGCAAGAAACAGAGCAUAGUGGACUUAAAUUAAGGGAGUAUAUAUAUAUACACAUGUAAGAUUAGUAUUAGUAAAACAUAUAAAUAUAGUUAUUUAUAGACUUUAUAAUCAAAUGAAAGUAGUAGAGAAAUAUAGUACUUAUUGUGUAUGCAUGAGAGCCAAGUUUUAAAUGGCUACACAUAUAUACGCAUGUAAAUGCGUGGCGUCGAUUUUUCCAACAAUAAAAAUAGGAGAAUUACUUUUGAUAUCUGUAAUGUUUCAUUUUUUUUUGAGAAUGUAAAUCAAAAAGGGAAAAAAAAGAAGAGAAAAGAAAGAUGAGUGAAAUGCGUGUACAAUUUCAUUAAACUACAUGUAUAUAAUAUUUGUACCAAGUAGAUAGAUACGAAUUUAUAAAUUGGCUUUAUUUAUACUUACUUUAUACUUUAAAAUAAUAAGUGCAUUUUUUUUAAAACUGAGAGGACACGUGUAGUGAUAAAACAGUGCAUGUCUUGCACCUAGUGUUUAUUUGAAACCAUACGUAAGUAGUUUAGUUAGCCCACGUAUGAGUAUGGUCAAUUAUAUAUAUACACAUGAAAGCAAAAAAAAAAAAAAAAAGGAAGAGAAGAGGGGGGAGAGAAAAAGAUGAAACAAAAACGUAGAGGAAACUUCAGUUGAAUAGAUGAGAAAAUAAUGAAAAAAAGAAAUUGAAAGGAAAGGAAAGGAAAAGCUCAUCAGAACUCGCGUAUAUAGGCUAUAUCUACGAGCAAGUCAAGGUCAGAGUAUGGAAACUCGAGUUAAAACGCACGAGGUUGAGCAGUGACGGUAGAGAAUGCUGAGCAGAGUUAUAAUUUUCCUUUUAUUUUAAGUAGAGGCUCUCGGCGGUGCAUGUCUCCAUACAUGUGACCGUGUUCAUUCCACUGCAUAUUAAGAUUCUAGUUAAUCUCGAUUGUUCUUCUCUACUCUGAUAAUUAUUUAUUGAAAAGUAAGAUUUCCAUUCAAGUUUUGGUGAUUAA